UACGUAGGGUGCGAGCGUUGUCCGGAAUUACUGGGCGUAAAGAGCUCGUAGGUGGUUUGUCGCGUUGUUCGUGAAAUCUCACGGCUUAACUGUGAGCGUGCGGGCGAUACGGGCAGACUAGAGUACUGCAGGGGGAGACUGGAAUUCCCGGUGUAGCGGUGAAAUGCGCAGAUAUCGGGAGGAACACCGGUGGCGAAGGCGGUUCUCUGGGCC
rnacentral:rRNA from 1 species